GAUGAACGCUAGCGGCAGGCUUAAUACAUGCAAGUCGAGGGGUAGCAAGAUUGUAGCAAUACAAUUGUUGACGACCGGCAAACGGGUGCGGUACACGUACACAACCUUCCUACAAGUGGGGAAUAGCCCAGAGAAAUUUGGAUUAAUACCCCGUAACAUAGCGAUGUGGCAUCACAUUGCUAUUAUAGCUUCGGCGCUUGUUGAUGGGUGUGCGGCUGAUUAGAUAGUUGGCGGGGUAACGGCCCACCAAGUCUACGAUCAGUAGCUGAUGUAAGAGCAUGAUCAGCCACACGGGGACUGAGACACGGGCCCGACUCCUACGGGAGGCAGCAGUAAGGAAUAUUGGACAAUGGACGCAAGUCUGAUCCAGCCAUGCCGCGUGAAGGAUUAAGGUCCUCUGGAUUGUAAACUUCUUUUAUAAGGGACGAAAAAAGGUCUUUCUAGAUCGUCUGACGGUACCUUAUGAAUAAGCACCGGCUAACUCCGUGCCAGCCGCCGCCGUAAGAC
rnacentral:rRNA from 1 species